GGAUUAUGAUAUGGUCCCUUAAAGUGAGGGCUCAUACGUCAGCUGAUAAGGUCCUUCAGGAACAAGACAUCACUUCUGGUCAUGAAUAUACCACCAGGAGAAAACAGAUACUUCAUCAAGGCUUCAAGCGGACGCACUGUGCCAGCAAGAUACACUUAAGAGGCCAUACCAGUCGGGGAGCAACUCCGAUUCACGAUUUUCCUGAUUCUAGAUGGCGCCACGCUCGCCGUCCUUAUCACGCCGUUCGCCUCCGACUCACGAAAUAAUCCUCAUUGUGCAUGGUUGACCUCGCUAGUUUAAGGUGGCCCGCGCCCUCUGCGUUGUUUGUCGAGUGGUAAAGUGUCGGACUUUGUCACGAAAGGUCCGCAGUUCGAUUCGAGACAUUCACGUCUUUUUGCUUGUCUCCUAUUGCUACAUGAGUACUUUAUUUUUUUCUUCUUAUAUAUUCAUGCUACAAUUAUUAUUUUCACAAGUCACUAGCGCCUGUACUGCCUGAUUAUGGAAUUUUUAGUUGCUCUUCGUAUUGUUUUACUAGUGCAUACUUACUGUAUGCCGACGUACAAGUGUGAUCGGAUAGUACUGAUGCCGGUAUCUCGGAGGCUCUCAAUUGGAUCUACCAGCGGCUGUAAAUUAGGCUAUAAACAUUGCCUACACACAGCGCUUACAAUGCCAGUCUGGAGAAUCUAGUGCUUGAAACGAUAUUCUUUUUUUUUGCACUCGCUUACAUAAUAAUAAUAAU